GAUCCUUGGCUCAGGAUGAACGCUAGCUACAGGCUUAACACAUGCAAGUCGAGGGGCAGCAUGGUCUUAGCUUGCUAAGGCUGAUGGCGACCGGCGCACGGGUGAGUAACACGUAUCCAACCUGCCGUCUACUCUUGGCCAGCCUUCUGAAAGGAAGAUUAAUCCAGGAUGGGAUCAUGAGUUCACAUGUCCGCAUGAUUAAAGGUAUUUUCCGGUAGACGAUGGGGA
rnacentral:rRNA from 1 species